rnacentral:tRNA from 2 species
CUAUGUAGCUCAGUAGGUAGAGCACUUCCUUGGUAAGGAAGAGGUCGCCGGUUCGAUUCCGUUCAUAG